GACGAACGCUGGCGGCGUGCUUAACACAUGCAAGUCGAACGGAAAGGCCCAGCUUGCUGGGUACUCGAGUGGCGAACGGGUGAGUAACACGUGGGUGAUCUGCCCCAAACUUUGGGAUAAGCCUGGGAAACUGGGUCUAAUACCGGAUAUGACCAUGGGAUGCAUGUUUUGUGGUGGAAAGCUUUUGCGGUUUGGGAUGGGCCCGCGGCCUAUCAGCUUGUUGGUGGGGUAAUGGCCUACCAAGGCGACGACGGGUAGCCGACCUGAGAGGGUGAUCGGCCACACUGGGACUGAGACACGGCCCAGACUCCUACGGGAGGCAGCAGUGGGGAAUAUUGCACAAUGGGCGCAAGCCUGAUGCAGCGACGCCGCGUGAGGGAUGACGGCCUUCGGGUUGUAAACCUCUUUCGCCAGGGACGAAGCUUUCGGGUGACGGUACCUGGAGAAGAAGCACCGGCCAACUACGUGCCAGCAGCCGCAGUAAAAC
rnacentral:rRNA from 1 species